rnacentral:rRNA from 1 species
UGAACGCUAGCGGCAGGCCUAACACAUGCAAGUCGAGGGGUAACAGGAGUAGCAAUACUUGCUGACGACCGGCGCACGGGUGAGUAACGCGUAUGCAACCUACCUUUGACUGGAGAAUAGCCCGAAGAAAUUCGGAUUAAUGCUCCAUGAGACCACAAUACCGCAUGAUAUAGUGGUAAAAGCUCCGGCGGUCAAAGAUGGGCAUGCGUGCCAUUAGUUAGUUGGUGAGGUUACGGCUCACCAAGACAACGAUGGCUAGGGGGUCUGAGAGGAUGAUCCCCCACACUGGUACUGAGACACGGACCAGACUCCUACGGGAGGCAGCAGUGAGGAAUAUUGGUCAAUGGACGCAAGUCUGAACCAGCCAUGCCGCGUGCAGGAUGAAUGCCCUAUGGGUUGUAAACUGCUUUUCUACAAGAAGAAACUUCCUGAUGUAUCAGGAACUGACGGUAUUGUAGGAAUAAGCAUCGGCUAACUCCGUGCCAGCAGCCGCGGUAAUACGGAGGAUGCAAGCGUUAUCCGGAUUCAUUGGGUUUAAAGGGUGCGUAGGCGGGGUAGUAAGUCAGUGGUGAAAGCCUGCGGCUUAACCGUAGAAUUGCCAUUGAUACUGCUAUUCUUGCAGUGCAGUUGAGGUAGGCGGAAUGUGUAAUGUAGCGGCGAACUGCUUAGAUAUUACACAGAACACCGAUUGCGUAGGCAGCUUACUAAACUGUAACUGACGCUGAGGCACG